CCCCUACGGGGGACAGCAGUGGGGAAUAUUGGGCAAUGGGGGAAACCCUGACCCAGCGACGCCGCGUGAGGGAAGAAGGUUUUCGGAUUGUAAACCUCUGUCCUUGGUGACGAUAAUGACGGUAGCCAAGGAGGAAGCCACGGCUAACUACGUGCCAGCAGCCGCGGUAAUACGUAGGUGGCAAGCGUUGUCCGGAUUUACUGGGUGUAAAGGGCGUGCAGCCGGGCCGACAAGUCAGAUGUGAAAUCCGCGGGCUUAACCCGCGAACUGCAUUUGAAACUAUUGGUCUUGAGUACCGGAGAGGU
rnacentral:rRNA from 1 species